rnacentral:ncRNA from 1 species
AAAUAUACGUUGAAAGAGCCCAGUAGCAGCUUUGUCCAUGUUAUAGAAAGUCAGGGGUUGAUGGAACCUGAUACACACAAGGACUGCGAAUUACACUCUGGAGUAUCUUGGGUAAUGCCAAGCGGUGCUAGCGAUCGAUAUUUCGCUGAAAGUGGUAUGAACAGUGCUUUAUAGGCUGUUGAUGCAAUUUGGGUGGUAACACGGUUUAUUCAAUCGUCCCUAUG